GAGGGUGUAGCUCAAGUGGUAGAGUGCAUGCUUUGCAUGCCUGAGGUCCUGGGUUCUAUCCACAGUAUCUCCU
rnacentral:tRNA from 1 species